rnacentral:rRNA from 1 species
GACGAACGCUGGCGGCGUGCUUAACACAUGCAAGUCGAACGGAAAGGCCCUGCUUGCAGGGUACUCGAGUGGCGAACGGGUGAGUAACACGUGGGUGAUCUGCCCUGCACUUCGGGAUAAGCCUGGGAAACUGGGUCUAAUACCGGAUAGGAGCCAUUUUUAGUGUGAUGGUUGGAAAGUUUUUUCGGUGUAGGAUGAGCUCGCGGCCUAUCAGCUUGUUGGUGGGGUAAUGGCCUACCAAGGCGGCGACGGGUAGCCGGCCUGAGAGGGUGGACGGCCACAUUGGGACUGAGGUACGGCCCAGACUCCUACGGGAGGCAGAAGUGGGGAAUAUUGCACAAUGGGCGCCAGCCUGAUGCAGAGACGCCGCGUGGGGGAUGACGGCCUUCGGGUUGUAAACUCCUUUCGCUAGGGACGAAGCUUUUUGUGACGGUACCUAGAUAAGAAGCACCGGCUAACUACGUG